rnacentral:lncRNA from 1 species
AUGAACUGUGAACUUCCAGAUGUUCAAGCUAGUUUUAGAAAAGGCAGAGGAACCAGAGAUCAAAUUGCAAACAUCUGCUGGAUCAUUGAAAAAGCAAGGGAGUUCCAGAAACACAUCUAUUUCUGCUUUAUUGACUAUGCCAAAGCCUUUGACUGUGUGGAUCACAAUAAACUGUGGAAAAUUCUGAAAGAGAUGGAAAUACCAGACCACCUGACCUGCCUCAUGAGAAACCUAUAUGCAGGUCAGGCAGCAGCAGUUAGAACUGGACAUGGAACAACAGACUGGUUCCAAAUAGGAAAAGGAGUACGUCAAGGCUAUAUAUUAUCAACCUGCUUAUUUAACUUAUAUGCAGAGUACAUCACUAGAAAUGCUGGGCUGGAGGAAGCACAAGCUGAAAUCAAGAUUGCCUGGAGAAAUAUCAAUAACCUGAGAUACGCAGAUGAUACCACCCUUAUGGCAGAAAGUGAAGAACUAAAGAGCCUCUUGAUAAAAGUAAAAGAGGAGAGUGAAAAAGUUGGCUUAAAGUUCAACAUUCAGAAAAUGAAGAUCAUGGCAUCCGGUCCCAUCACUCCAUGGGAAAUAGAUGGGAAAACAGUGGCUGACUUUGUUUUUAGGGGCUCCAAAAUCACUACGGAUGGUGAUCACAGCCAUGAAAUUGAAAGACGCUCACUCCUUGGAAGGAAAGUUAUGACCAACAUAAAUAGCAUAUUCAAAAGCAGAGACAUUACUUUGCCAACAAAUGUUCAUCUAGUCAAGGCUAUGGUUUUUCCAGUGGUCAUGUAUGGAUGUGAGAGUUGGACUGUGAAGAAGGCUGAGCGCCGAAGAAUUGAUGUAUUUGAACUGUGGUGUUGGAGAAGACUCUUGAGAGUCCCUUGGACUGCAAGGAGAUCCAACCAGUCCAUCCUAAAGGAGAUCAGUCCUGGGUGUUCAUUGGUAGGACUGACGUUGAAGCUAAAACUCCAAUACUUUGUCCACCUGAUGCAAAGAGCUGACUUAUUUGAAAAGACCCAGAAAGACUGA